GCAUCCGAAGAGACCAGACAUAUUGAUUGUUCAUUUGCUUUUCCUUUUUUUCCUUAGAUAAUCGGGUCACAGGUUGAUCAUAAAUUUCAUCUCAAUGAGGCAGAGCCUUAAAUCUGGGGAUGAGGAGUUGAAGUUCUGCAGAUUGGUACCUGAGGAUACAAGGAAAGGAGAAACAUCCCAAUGUCAUCCUCUUGUUCCUGGACUAGGAUUCUAGCAUCUGGGAAAGUGGUGUGUUGUAUUCCUAGAGACACCUGCAUGUCACAUCUUAAUGACCACCAUCCUCCCUAUGAGACUCUGCCUCAGUGAUAUUCAGGAUAUAUCCUGGUAAUGUUCACAUUGCAACCUUCAAUUCCACUUCUCCAGCCUGUCUGGCCUGUCUGGGUGUCCCAGCUUCAUCCAUCACCAAGCAGCUCUCUCCCA
rnacentral:lncRNA from 1 species